GACGAACGCUGGCGGCAUGCCUAAUACAUGCAAGUCGAACGCGGCCAUCCGGUGCUUGCACUGGUGAAGCCGAGUGGCGAACGGGUGAGUAACACGUGAGAAACCUGCCCUGGAGUGGGGAAUAACUCGAAGAAAUUCGAGCUAAUACCGCAUACCUUCUCUUCACCGCAUGGUGAGUUGAAGAAAGAUUUAUCGCUCUAGGAGGGUCUCGCGGCCUAUCAGCUAGUUGGUGAGGUAAUGGCUCACCAAGGCAUCGACGGGUAGCUGGUCUGAGAGGACGAUCAGCCACACUGGGACUGAGACACGGCCCAGACUCCUACGGGAGGCAGCAGUAGGGAAUCUUGCGCAAUGGGCGAAAGCCUGACGCAGCAAUGCCGCGUGCGGGACGAAGGCCCUAGGGUCGUAAACCGCUUUCAGUAGGGACGAAAAUGACGGUACCUGCAGAAGAAGCUCCGGCCAACUACGUG
rnacentral:rRNA from 2 species